rnacentral:misc_RNA from 1 species
GAACAUUACAAUCCUCUCCUCCUUAAAAAAUUUUCAUCCUCAAAAUUUACGUACCUUGUGAAGCAAACAAGUGUGGGUACUAAGCCCACAUAUCAUCUUCUCUCUCCUAAGUACCUUCUUUUCUGGAAUGAUUGCCCCAAUGAACCUUGACUAAUGGAACUACUUUGUUCUUAACAUAGAUACAUGGAAAACAUCAUGAAUUUGU